rnacentral:lncRNA from 1 species
AGGCAACCCAACAACAGCUUACUUUUCUUCAAAUACAAGGGAAGCUGCAGCAGAUUUAAAUUCCAUUGAGGAGCAACAGAUAAGAGUAAGCUAUCUCAAGCAAGAUGCCUCUUUUGCUUACACUAAAAAUGCAACUUAGAAAACAAAGUUUCAAAUAAAGCAUUCAGUUCUCCCGAUCUUGCUGCAAGAGGCAACAUCUCUGGGCACAGAAAGAAGCUUGCAUCUAGAACUGGCCACAGACAGCUCACCAGCAUCCUCACAUCUCAGGUCCAACCCCGCAAACUUUCUAACAGGCAGAAGGUGAAAGCAUUGAAUUACUACUACUGAUGCUACAGGACGACACCACGCUGGGCAGUCUUGGGAAAAGAGGAAGAAUCCUGUCUGCUUACCAAGGAAGAAUGAGGAGCACGGAACUCAUUAGCCAUCACCUUUGGAAAGCUGAUUCCUCAAUUAUUCCUUGCACAGAAUGGGAAAAAUGUACAUAAAAAUCCUACACAACAG